rnacentral:rRNA from 1 species
CCUACGGGGGGCAGCAGUGGGGAAUAUUGCACAAUGGGGGAAACCCUGAUGCAGCAACGCCGCGUGAGGGAAGAAGGAUUUCGGGAUGUAAAGCUCUAUCAGCAGGGAAGAGAAGGACGGUACCUGACUAAGAAGCGCCGGCGAACAACGUGCCAGCACCCGCGGGAAUACGGAGGGGGCAAGCGUUAUCCGGAUUUACUGGGUGUAAAGGGAGCGUAGACGGUUGUACAAGUCUGAAGUGAAAGCCCGUGGCUCAACCGCGGAACUGCUUUGGAAACUGUAAAGCUGGAGUACUGGUGAGGCAGGCGGAAUUCCUAGUGUAGCGGUGAAAUGCGUAGAUAUUAGGAGGAACACCAGUGGCGAAGGCGGCCUGCUGGACAGCAACUGACGUUGAGGCUCGAAAGCGUGGGGAGCAAACAGGAUUAGAUACCCUGGUAGUC